GGCAUACUCAGCUCGUAUGCGUAGAGCAACAAUCAGUUCUCUUAAACCUUUCAAAGCGAACGCACACGCGUUCCGUCACCGAAUAAACACAGUUUCUUCUCACCGAUAGCAAAAAAAACUUCCGCUGAGGUUCGGUAACGAAAAAAGCAAGAGCGUACAGUGUCAAGCAAAACAUCAUCAAACAGAUAUAGAGGUCGACCAAAAGUUACCCCCUUUCCAUCGA